rnacentral:rRNA from 1 species
AAUGAACGCUGGCGGCGUGCCUAACACAUGCAAGUCGAACGAGAAAGUUCCUUCGGGAAUGAGUAGAGUGGCGCACGGGUGAGUAACGCGUGGGUAAUCUGCCCUUGGAUUUGGGAUAACUUCGCGAAAGUGGAGCUAAUACCGGAUAGUCUGGCUUUGUAAAAGGAGUCGGUAAAGGAUGCCUCUGCAUAUGCAUUCGUCCGAGGAUGAGCCCGCGUCUCAUUAGCUAGUUGGUAGGGUAACGGCCUACCAAGGCGACGAUGAGUAGCUGGUCUGAGAGGAUGAUCAGCCACACUGGGACUGAAACACGGCCCAGACUCCUGCGGGAGGCAGUAGUGGGGAAUAUUGCGCAAUGGGCGAAAGCCUGACGCAGCAACGCCGUGUGAGGGAUGAAGGUUUUCGGAUCGUAAACCUCUGUCAGAAGGGAAGAAGUGAUGCGGGUCCAACAGGCCCGUAUCUUGACGGUACCUUCAAAGGAAGCACCGGCUAACUCCGUGCCAGCAGCCGCGGUAAUACGGAGGGUGCAAGCGUUAUUCGGAAUUACUGGGCGUAAAGCGCACGUAGGCGGCCUUGUAAGUCAGGUGUGAAAUCCCACGGCUCAACCGUGGAACUGCACUUGAAACUGCGGGGCUCGAAUCCUGGAGAGGGCGGCGGAAUUCCUGGUGUAGGAGUGAAAUCCGUAGAUAUCAGGAGGAACACCGGUGGCGAAGGCGGCCGCCUGGACAGGUAUUGACGCUGAGGUGCGAAAGUGUGGGGAGCAAACAGGAUUAGAUACCCUGGUAGUCCACACCGUAAACGAUGGAUACUAGGUGUCGGGGACUUGAUCCUCGGUGCCGCAGUUAACGCGUUAAGUAUCCCGCCUGGGGAGUACGGUCGCAAGGCUGAAACUCAAAGAAAUUGACGGGGGCCCGCACAAGCGGUGGAGUAUGUGGUUUAAUUCGAUGCAACGCGAAGAACCUUACCUGGGCUUGACAUCCUGGGAAUUCCGCAGAGAUGCGGAAGUGCCCUUCGGGGAAUCCAGAGACAGGUGCUGCAUGGCUGUCGUCAGCUCGUGCCGUGAGGUGUUGGGUUAAGUCCCGCAACGAGCGCAACCCCUAUCCUCAGUUGCCAGCAGGUAAAGCUGGGCACUCUGUGGAGACUGCCCGGGUUAACCGGGAGGAAGGUGGGGACGACGUCAAGUCAUCAUGGCCCUUACGCCCAGGGCUACACACGUACUACAAUGGUGGGCACAAAGGGCAGCGAAACCGCGAGGUCCAGCCAAUCCCAAAAAAACCAUCAUAGUCCGGAUUGCAGUCUGCAACUCGACUGCAUGAAGUUGGAAUCGCUAGUAAUCCCGGAUCAGCAUGCCGGGGUGAAUACGUUCCCGGGCCUUGUACACACCGCCCGUCACACCACGAAAGUCGGUUCUACCCGAAGCCGCCAGGCUAACCCGCAAGGGAUGCAGGCGUCUACGGUAGGGCUGGUAAUUGGGGUGA